rnacentral:rRNA from 1 species
GUAGGGAAUAUUGGGCAAUGGUCGGAAGACUGACCCAGCCAUGCCGCGUGCAGGAAGACGGCCCUCUGGGUUGUAAACUGCUUUUAUCUGGGAAGAAAAAGGCCAUGCGUGGCAAAUUGCCGGUACCAGAUGAAUAAGAACCGGCUAACUCCGUGCCAGCAGCCGCGGUAAUACGGAGGGUGCGAGCGUUGUCCGGAUUUAUUGGGUUUAAAGGGUGCGUAGGCGGCUGGUUAAGUCAGCGGUGAAAGACUUCGGCUUAACCGGAGCAGUGCCGUUGAUACUGGUUGGCUUGAGUGUCGGAGGGGUACAUGGAAUUGAUGGUGUAGCGGUGAAAUGCAUAGAUACCAUCAGGAACACCGAUAGCGAAGGCAUUGUACUGGCCGACAACUGACGCUGAUGCACGAAAGUGUGGGGAUCGAACAGGAUUAGAUACCCCAGUAGUCC